UCGCUUUGGCAGCAAAUAUACUAAAAUUGGAACGAUACAGAGAAGAUUAGCAUGGCCCCUGUGCA
rnacentral:snRNA from 1 species